CUUUCUUUCUUUCUUUCUUUCUUUCUUUCUUUCUUUCUUUCUUUCUUUCUUUCUUUCUUUCUUUAAAUUUGGAUGGUAGAGGAAAGAAGAAAAGAUAUUAGCUAUGUUUUAAGCCAGCCAUUCUUGAGGAUACAAAGGCUUUUGGUUGAUAAGGUUUUCAAGGAACCCAUGGACCAUGAUGUUGUUUCAAGAGUUACAUAAAGUACUCCAAACAGCAGAGUAUUAAGAGUCUGUGAAAGCUAACAGGAAAUAUGCCAAGUCCCAGCUCACUCCAGAACUCUGGAAAACAUUUUACCACAUGCUUAGUACUAAGAGUCCUUGAAAGUGGAUCUGGUCAUGUGGUCGUCCUGCUUAAAGCCUUGAUAGUGUCUCAGGGUCGUUCUCUCACACAGUUAAUCCUAACUCAAACAUUCUGCAUGUAUUCUCAAAUAAAAUAAAUAUUACCUCUUGUCUAAUGUAUACAAUGGAAACAUACCUUUUUGAAACAUAUCAAUCCAAACAAGAGACUAGAAUCAAUUAAAUUAUCUAGGAUGCUUUUUAAAUAUAUCACCAAGAAAACAUCAUAAAUGAUAUUUUAUGUAUUUUAGAUGUGAUUUAGUCAUAUUCCUAGCAAAAUGAUCUGAUUCUUUUAAAAUGUCACAGUAUUUUUAAUAAAACUAGAGUUAGUGUAAUCAUAUAAUUUUAAAUGAACAUUUUACUUGUUCUGAGUGAAGUCUCUAAAAUUAAUACUGGAAUGAAAAUCCCACAGUGUGUGUGAGCCAGCCCAGAAAGUGUGAGAGUGCUACUUGUCUGCCUUGUGGUGACUUGGAUGAGGGAGCGAUGUCCCUCCCUUGCCCCUUGCUACCAAUGGCAGGGAGGAGAACUGACCCCAAAGACACCAGAGCAGGAGAACUGGCCUUACCACUUUCCUGCCUCAGCACCUGGGAGAGCAGGCCUGCACCUCACCUAGGGAGCACAGUAGACCUGGCCCUGGAUGUAGAUGAGCCAGCCCCUAGGGCACGAGAGAGGGAGACCAGCAGGGUGAGCAGCUCAGAAAACUCUCAUGCCCAGAUCCAGGUCUUUGAAUUGGCCCACCCCAACACAACAUCUACCCCAUGCUGGAGUGCAUGAAGGGGUUGGUCCUACAGAUCCAAAACUACAGGAUAUCCCAUAAGAUAGGGCAACAGCAAGAUAUCUAUCAAGAGUCCCAGUGAAGUUACAGUAUUGUCAGAGUAGCAGAAGCCAGUGGCCUUGUACCAGACCUAUGAGUCAAUGCAAUGAACAUUUGCAAGCAAAGAUGUGUGGACAAAGGGGUGUACUGCGGGACACACUGUGACACACUACAGCUUCUGCAACAAGGGUUUUUUUUUUUUUUGGCUGUAGAGGGGAGGUUGUAGGGGUGAAGAGUUGUUAAGAGGACAAGAGGAGAUGAGUGAGAUUGAGGUGCAUGAUAUAAAAAGAAUCAAUGAAAAGUU
rnacentral:lncRNA from 1 species